rnacentral:rRNA from 1 species
GUGAGGAAUAUUGGUCAAUGGACGCGAGUCUGAACCAGCCAAGUAGCGUGAAGGAUGACUGCCCUAUGGGUUGUAAACUUCUUUUAUAAGGGAAUAAAGUGAGGGACGUGUCCCUUUUUGUAUGUACCUUAUGAAUAAGGAUCGGCUAACUCCGUGCCAGCAGCCGCGGUAGUACGGAGGAUCCAAGCGUUAUCCGGAUUUAUUGGGUUUAAAGGGAGCGUAGGUUGACAUAUAAGUCAGCUGUGAAAGUUUACGGCUCAACCGUGAAGUUGCAGUUGAUACUGUAUGUCUUGAGUGUACAAGAGGUGGGCGGAAUUCGUGGUGUAGCGGUGAAAUGCUUAGAUAUCACGAAGAACUCCAAUUGCGAAGGCAGCUCACUGGGGUACAACUGACACUGAGGCUCGAAAGUGUGGGUAUCAAACAGGAUUAGAAACCCGGGUAGUCC